rnacentral:rRNA from 1 species
UACGUAGGGUGCAAGCGUUGUCCGGAAUUAUUGGGCGUAAAGAGCUCGUAGGCGGUUUGUCGCGUCUGCUGUGAAAACUCGGGGCUUAACUCCGGGCCUGCAGUGGGUACGGGCAGACUAGAGUGCGGUAGGGGAGACUGGAAUUCCUGGUGUAGCGGUGCAAUGCGCAGAUAUCAGGAGGAACACCGGUGGCGAAGGCGGGUCUCUGGGCCGUAACUGACGCUGAGGAGCGAAAGCGUGGGGAGCGAACAGG